GACGAACGCUGGCGGCGCGCCUAACACAUGCAAGUCGAACGAGCGAGAGAGAGCUUGCUUUCUCGAGCGAGUGGCGAACGGGUGAGUAACGCGUGAGGAACCUGCCUCAAAGAGGGGGACAACAGUUGGAAACGACUGCUAAUACCGCAUAAGCCCACGGGUCGGCAUCGACCAGAGGGAAAAGGAGCAAUCCGCUUUGAGAUGGCCUCGCGUCCGAUUAGCUAGUUGGUGAGGUAACGGCCCACCAAGGCGACGAUCGGUAGCCGGACUGAGAGGUUGAACGGCCACAUUGGGACUGAGACACGGCCCAGACUCCUACGGGAGGCAGCAGUGGGGAAUAUUGCACAAUGGGGGAAACCCUGAUGCAGCGACGCCGCGUGGAGGAAGAAGGUCUUCGGAUUGUAAACUCCUGUUGUUGGGGAAGAUAAUGACGGUACCCAACAAGGAAGUGACGGCUAACUACGUGCCAGCAGCCGCGGUAAAACGUAGGUCACAAGCGUUGUCCGGAAUUACUGGGUGUAAAGGGAGCGCAGGCGGGAAGACAAGUUGGAAGUGAAAUCUAUGGGCUCAACCCAUAAACUGCUUUCAAAACUGUUUUUCUUGAGUAGUGCAGAGGUAGGCGGAAUUCCCGGUGUAGCGGUGGAAUGCGUAGAUAUCGGGAGGAACACCAGUGGCGAAGGCGGCCUACUGGGCACCAACUGACGCUGAGGCUCGAAAGUGUGGGUAGCAAACAGGAUUAGAUACCCUGGUAGUCCACACCGUAAACGAUGAUUACUAGGUGUGGAGGAUUGACCCUUUCAGUGCCGCAGUUAACACAAUAAGUAAUCCACCUGGGGAGUACGACCGCAAGGUUGAAACUCAAAGGAAUAGACGGGGGCCCGCACAAGCAGUGGAGUAUGUGGUUUAAUUCGACGCAACGCGAAGAACCUUACCAAGUCUUGACAUCCUGCGACAGACAUAGAAAUAUGUUUUUCCUACGGGACGCAGAGACAGGUGGUGCAUGGUUGUCGUCAGCUCGUGUCGUGAGAUGUUGGGUUAAGUCCCGCAACGAGCGCAACCCUUAUGGUCAGUUACUACGCAAGAGGACUCUGGCCAGACUGCCGUUGACAAAACGGAGGAAGGUGGGGAGGACGUCAAAUCAUCAUGCCCUCUAUGACUUGGGCUACACACGUACUACAAUGGCGUUAAACAAAGAGAAGCAAGACCGCGAGGUGGAGCAAAACUCAGAAACAACGUCCCAGUUCGGACUGCAGGCUGCAACUCGCCUGCACGAAGUCGGAAUUGCUAGUAAUCGUGGAUCAGCAUGCCACGGUGAAUAAAAAGCCGGGCCUUGUACA
rnacentral:rRNA from 1 species